GUACAUAGCUCAGUUGGUAGAGAAUGAGACUCUUAAUCUCAGGAUUGUGUGUUUGAGCCCCACUUUGGACA
rnacentral:tRNA from 1 species